ensembl:lncRNA
AUCUUGGUCUGUUUAAAAAGUGCUUAUUUGCCCAGUGGUGUUUCAGCUCAGGUUUUUAUUUCCUUUCAUUUCUCCAUCUUAUGGGGUUUUCCUGGCAGCUCUUUAGGAAGUGGAUGACUCAACAGUUAAAAACAGAAACUUCUGAAUAUUUAAGAGAAACAAAAAAUGUCUUACUGAAGACACAUGAAUUUUAAAUAAUUUUCAACAAGUGCAGAGUACUGCAGAAGUAUGUGAACUCCCUAAUGAGCUUUGUGGAACAAGAAAAGGCUAUAAAGGAUGAAGCCUGGUGAUUCUUACCAUCUGUGUGAUUGUGAUUUUUUUUCCUAUCAGUAACAGUGCUUGGCAUUGACUUGCUGCAAAAUUAAAGCAUUCAACUUAAGGAGAGCCUCACAGAAAACUAUGCUAACGCUGAAAGUACUAAGGCCUAGGAAGAGGAUCAGCAGUUGGAUCUGCAUAGCAGUUCUCUUAUGGAGUAUGGACAUCACCCACGUUCUGAGCCAGCACCUGCUUCUAGAGAACCAAGUGCAAAGUCUGGGAAUCAACAUUAAUUAUGGAUUAUUGGUAAUGGAAUUUCUUCUGCUAAAGGAUUAUCAAAAUCAGCAAGCAGCAAAAUUAGUUCGUGUUUCUGUUCUGGACGCUAGAUGGCAAACUGAUAGUGUGAUAGACAUCAGGCUUGUUAUCAUGGAAAUCUCUGAUUAGGUAUGCUGUACAAAAUGCAAGUUAUCUGUAUGCAAAUGAGCAGUAGCUUGAUGUGGUGCAUGCUGAUAGCAAACAGAAUACUUCAAUCUUUAUGUUUCUAACUAAUCUGUGACUUUCCAAGAUUGGACAAUGCGGCUUUUGUUGGAAUCGCAGAGGUCUCUACAGCAAAUGCUUCAGGUGGACUUCCUUUCUCUUUCUGGCCCUUCCAUGGCUGAGCAGGGAGGUGUGUCAGACAGCCCCAUGGUGGGCUUCACCUGGAAACCAGGGGCGAUUCAACCAAGGUUAACUCAAGGUCCUUGAAGAGGGACUGUGACACAGUACAGAGCUGUGAGGAUACACCCAAAGGAGCACAGAUAAACUCCCAUGCGUCCAUUUUGUAAGGGCCUCAUCAUUAACACAAGAUAUCUGAGGGAUUUGAACAGCCAACACAACACUGGCUCAGAAUAAAUCUUUAUCCUUCAGAUAUCAUCAUGCAUGUACAAACCUUUAUUUCCAAUAUAACAGCCCGGGGAACAGUGAAACCAUGGGGAAGCUGCAAGGUUAAAGCUGUUAUUCAACAUAUCACUGCCUCUCUACCAUACACCAGCAAUUACUUACAACACAAGCUGCUGGAGAGUCACUCAAGCUGGCAAAAAAUUCUUCUGCAGUAGCUCCUGGAUGAUGUCUUCCCUGUCUCUCUGGUCAGAACCAUGGCAGC